ACAAUUCCUCAUCUGAACACUGACCAGUUAUUGCUUUACUUACUAUUCCACCCAUGGUGUAAAAUGUCAAGUCUGUGUGCAUUGUGUUUUACAUGUUAUGGGUUAUUAACGUUAUGGCAUUGUUAUGUAAUUAAGUGUUAACAUUAUUGCUUUAUUAUGCAAUUAAGUGGUGACAUUGUGUUUUGCCGUGAGCAUUCUAACUACCAUAUGGGCUAAAAUAACACUUUGGCUGCCGUUUCACCGAAGCACUGGUAAGCACCGGUAAGCACCAGCAGGACCGGGCUCGUGGAGGACUCCUGCUGACCAUGUGCUUUGCAUGAUGGAGGCAGACAAAGCAGUCUGUGCAUCAUGUGGUACAUGCCAACAACCCUGAAGAGAUAAAAGUGGGAUGAUGAUAUGGCCAGGAACUUAUUAGACCUCUCGCUGAGGAAGAGGAUAGGGUGAAGAGGCUGAACCCAGUCCUAGCCACAGAAGGCUGGCCCAAGGCAUGUGUUAGUAGGAAACACAAUGCCUGGCCUAGGGGCAUAGGCCAGGGAUGACGUUACAAUUCUACGUGUGCUGUACCAAAUCUCUGGAAAGGAGCCGUGUCAGUACUGGAUAGGACAUACCACUAAAGCAGAAUCAUAGAUUUAGAACCGGGAGGCUUGAGAUCAUCUAAGCAACCCCUUCACUGGACAGAUGAGUAAACUGAGGCCCAGAGAGGGCGGCUGACUUGUUGGAGGUCACAUAUGUGGGUAAUAAGUAGCAGUUUGACCCCUUCAUUCAGAGCCCUUUCCACAGAACCCAGUGACAGUGGCAGAGGGCUGGUGUGGAGAAACUGAGGCGACCAAGGAAAGCUUCAGGAGUCAGCAUCUGAUCUCAGAGGCCCCUGGAAACUGCAGAAGCCUGAGCCCAGUGUGGGACUGCUUAAAGCAAUUUGGCAAAGCAGAGCAGGGAGAGCAAACUGGCUAUGACAAGACAGACAAACAGAAACAGCCAUGAGGAGAAACACAUUCAGUGGCUCCUGGAUGCUUCUGGCCACAAAGGCAAACAAAGAGGCCACCCCAGGGUGCCCCAGAUUCAAAGAAGGAACUCACCAGGGGUAUGCUGAAAAAAGAACCACCAGGAGUAAACAGAGACAAGCAGGACAGCUGUGGAGGCAGAGACCACGCUCUCAGUAUACGCUUAAAGAAAAAACACAGCUUUCUGUACAAUCCUCUUUUUCUUUUCCGCGCAUCUCAUUUAGUGUGGUUAAGUUCAGAAUUAUAAGAAACUCUACUGGAAAAUGGAACUGCUCCUCCCAGAGAGACAAAGGAACGUGGGAGCGGGGGUCAGAGAUGCUCCUUGCAUGAGCAGCAGCGCAGAGAGCAGUGGGCUGCGGGCGGCCGGGGAGGCUGCGCUGGAUUGUUACCACUGUGGACCAGAUGGACACAUGAGCACUGCUCGGGCCUGAGAGAGGAGGCUCAGGUUGGCCUACUAGAAGCCCAAUGCCAAUAGACCAGCAGGAGUAAAAAAGGACACUCACCAGCUGCCUGCCAGACUUUCUUGAUGCAGUGCUCGAAGGCCCUGCCAAAACCCAGAGCAGUCAGCUACCAUAAAAGAUAGAACUGGGUUAGGAGAGAGCUUUUUCCCAGGACAGGAAGGUCUUCAACAAAUCUGAUCCCAGGAAAAGGUGGGCUGAGGGCCUCGGCAGCUGCUGGGCCAGGAUGAUUCCACCAACAUGUGGGGAGACUUCUCUGAGGCCAACACACCCUAAAUGCCCUUUGACUUUCCCUGAACCUGGACCUCCCAAUGUAGUGCAGUUUUUGAGUCCUGGACAUUCACCCAUCUGGCUCAUGUCCCCCGACUGACCAAAAUCCAAGUUGGCAUGAGCAGAUUUUCAUCUGUGUGGGUCACUUAGGCCCAGACAUAACUCCUGCCUGAGCACUUCGGCUCAGCACUUGGUAGUUCAUCUUAGGGAGGGGCCUUUCUGGAGACAACGAGCCUGCACUGAGUCACUUUGGAAAGUUCUCCCUCUAACUUAUUACGGGGCCAUUCAAACCAGUUGAGCUCAUUGAUCAAAUGAGACAGUAUUUGUGAAACACUUAACACAGUACCUGGCACCUAGGGGGCUCUACACAAAGGCUUAUUUCCUCCACCCUUCCCUUCAUCCAUUCAUAUCUUCUAAUUUAAACCUGAUCAGGGCUGCCUUGGAAGACAACGAACUCCCCUAGCAACUGGAGGUCUUCAGAUAGAGCUCAGCCAACCACUCAUACGCUUGGGGUGUAGUCCCAGGGAUUCUCGCUCAAGGGAUUAACCUUGUAAUUUAUUCAUUCAACAAGCAGUUAUGACGGUGCCUACUAUGGUCCUGACACUGCUGGGUGCUGUGGACUCCUUAAUGACCUUGCACUCUAAUAAAUAAACACAGACUAUUUACAAAGUAAUGCUGGGGCACUAGCCACUGGAGGAGGGGGAAUUAGGGGAAAAUUACGAUUAAAAAUAAAUCUCCCAGGAGACAGCUCUUGUGCUGAGCUUUGAAGGAAAACAGAUUCCAAGAGGCAGAGCUGACCAAGGCGGGCACUCCAGAAGAGGGGGACAACCCUGUGUGUGCAAAGGCAUGAGGGUGGAAGAUGGAAUAUCUUGCACAGAAAACACAGUAGGACAAUUUGGCUGGCAAGUCUAAGAAAAUAGGGGGUACUUUCCCCCUAAAACUUACCUGUGGUCUAUAAUCAUUCUCUUAGUAGAACUUCGAAGAAAGUGAGUAAAGGAAAAAGUGUUAACAAAGACAAAUACCUUGAACUGAACUGAAAUGCAAUCAAAAUGUCUACAUAACACAGUAAUUUUGCGUCAUUAUGUAGAACCGUCCACUUUUCCCUUUAGAAGAGCUCCCUGUGAUUGUCUCAUUUUAGGGCGGUGGCCUAGAUUCAGGGGAAUACGCUAAGUCUUGGGUUUCCUGUCCUUCAGGGCUCCGAGCUCUUGGGUCCGAUCUCUCUCCCUCAGUUUUCUGCGCUCGCCUGGCCCACGUGGGCACCGUGUACAUUUCAGAAUUCGAUCCACAACAGUUGGGGGAGGAGGGGCAGGGGCGGUUUUUUUUUUCCUCCAGGUAAUAACAGGAAAGCCUGACGUCACUGACGGCUGUGGGGGGAAGGGAAGCGAAGACAUUUUGGCUUCUUCUUUCCCGGGGUUCGGGCCUCUCCCGUGGCCCCAUCCUUCAGGACCAGGCCUCCCAAAGCCCAACUUCCUCUGCCCCUGUGACUCCACACCUGCCCGACCGAGGGAGCCCAGGGCCGAGAGCUCCGACCGUAGUCAGCAUGACCUGAAUUCAAAGCCCGCCGCCAGCGCAAGGCAAGUCACCCAACUUCUCCUGCAGCCUCAGUUUUCCAAUCUGGAAAAUGGGCUUAAUAACACCAGUGCCCGACUCCGGAAGCCUUCAAGUGACGUGUGAUUAACAGCUCUUGGGGGGGAGCGGUCCCUGCGACACUUGCUCCGGGGCUUUCACUGAGUACCCGCCAAAAAGAAAGACUCGCGACCCCUAUCUGAACAGCACCGGCCUCUGUGGGGGAAACCUGCAAUCUCUUCGGAAGUGGAAUGAGCGGAACGUGAGUCCUGGCCUCGGGAGGUCGGGGUUCGAAUCCUCCCCAGGUACUUAAAGAGGCCCUGUAACCUAGGGCCAGUCAUUGUCCCCUCGGGGCAUCAGUUCUCAAAGACUCCCCCAGGGCCUCUCCCAGCCCCGAAUUCCAAAACGCGAAGGCGGGAUGCGACCUCCGACCCCGGAAUCCAGCCGCCAGGCAGUUGCCCAGGCCAGCGCCCUCCUCUGGCUCCGCUUCUCCAGAGCAGAGGCGGAUGGCGGAUGACGUCACUGACGCGAGGGGCAGUUGCCAGGGAGACCUAGAGACUUCACAAGAGUCUCCCCAGACCCGCGCGCCCUCCCCUGGGCGAAACUGAGAAUGGGAACCGGGAAACGUCUCGGGGCCGGGGCUGGACGGGAAAGGGAUGGGAGCCGAGGAGGCUCCCUCACCGGCCUACGCUUCCCAGAGGCCUCCGCUCUGCAGCGCUGCUCGCUGUGGGACUCCAUUUCCCAGAGAUCUUCGCGCCGGCUCCAAGCCGACCCGAGAACUUCCUUCGGUCACGCGGGGUCCUAAAGCGCGUGUGCUGCGUGCGGCGCUGAUCACAUGACUUUAGCUUCAGGUACUCGCUACCCACCCCACCUUGCCCCGGAUCUGUCUGUCUCUAUAGCAACCGCCGACGCAACAGUGCCCCUGCUCCCUUUCCUCCGCGGGGCCAAAGGAUUCAUCCUGUGCCACUACCUUUAGUUACACAGGGGGCGGGGCGGAAGAGAAGCACAAAUUAAAAAAAUCAGACAGUCCUUGCCCUCAAGGAGCUUACACUUUAUGAGAAGGAACAAAUAUUCACUCCAUGCUCAAGGCGUACCCCUACCUUCCCCCCUGCCUUUCUUCAAGGUUCAGCUCUAGUCUCCCCUUCUCCAGGAAGCCUUCCCUGAUACUCCCGGCAAACUGGGGGGGGGGGUGCUCGUUCCCCCCUCCCCAUAUUUUCCCAGAAUACUUUGCCUGGAACUCUCCCCUUUGAGUCCGUUGUUUUCACCCCAGGAGAACCAAGGAGGGGAAAGGGCGUUUCACUCUGGUCCAGGUAUCCCCAGGACCUCGUACAGUGUCCUGCAACAGUAAUCCUCACUGAGGAAAGGUCAUUGAAAGAAGUUCAACAAUAAUCUAAGACCAGCUUUGCUUCAGGGAGAAUUGGCUAAUUUUUUGAGAUUUAAAGCUAGAAAGAACGUAAAAGGACACCAAGUCCAGCAUCUGCAUUUUAAAGAAGAGGAAACUGAGGCACAGAGAGGUGAAGAGACUUGCCUAGGAUCAUAAAGCCCGGGUGUACUCGAGGCAGAAUCUGAAUCCAGGGCUUCCUAGCUUGGAGGCAGGCUCCCUACCGCUUAUUCCAUGAGAUGAUUCCUUACAGGCAUACAAAGGACAGUGCAAGAAGGCAUGGAAAAUAGGAGGGAGAGGAUCACAAAUUAAGAGCUGUGGACUUGGAGUCAGAAAAUUUGGGUUCCAGGACUCAGUCAUUUAUUAGCUAAUAAAUUUCACUUCUCAGUGACUCAGUUUCCCCAUCUGUGAUCCCUCCUUUCCCAAGCUCUCUCACUGCUGAGAGGUGAGUGCUAUUGUUAUCUUCAUUUUACAUUUGAGGAAACUGAGGCAAACAGAGGCAAAGAGACUUGCCCAUAACUCAAGACUUCCCGAUGCUUAGUUCAGCACUACUCACUGUGCUGCCUACUGGCCUAAUUCUUUUACUUUGCAUCACUAACUCACAUAGUAAGCAGGGGAUUCACACGUGUUGUUGAGCUGAAUUAAGUUAAAAUUCCAUCUGGAUCCUAGAACAUCAGAACUGAAUAUUGAGGACCUCAGAUCUGCUGUGUGUAAACCCUGAACCCCCACCCUGGGGCCCCAAUCCGAGCAGAGAUGACUAAGAAAUCUAUAGACAAAGCUUACCUUAUGAACUUACUUGUGGGCCUGAUUUUGUCCAGAAGCUAGAAUGGAGGAAACCACUCUAGACUUAAGUGCACAGAAAUGGACAAUCCCUUAGUUGGGAGAGACAUCUAGAGACGAAUUCUGGUGAUAACAUGUACCAUGUGGAUUCUGUUUGAAAUCUAAACAGAGCUGAAACCGAUAAAAGGAAACAAACCUGCUAUUAGUGAGGUGAAUUUUACUGUGUGAAAGGAGGGUUUUGUUCCAGGGUCCAAGGCCAAAAUAGAUAACAAUUCCCACGAAUUAUCGUUGAAAACAUUUCUACCACACUUGCACAGGGACAUAGCGAUGACAUAAUGUAUAUCUGCGCUGUGCCGGGUCAUGACGAUAGAGCUUAAUGUUGACAAGAUGCCUCCUUGUCUGUUGCCCUAUAAAGCAAGUGGGCACUGGUCAGUAAGGGGGGAACCCAUUUUAUGGAUUUGGGUAAUGCACGGAGGAAUGCAUGCACCUGCCUUGGUCGGCCCCCACCAAGGCUUGGGGAAUCUUGAAGGAGUUGUACUCCUAUUCUCAUCCACUCCUGAGAGAAGUGUGAUUAGGAGUUGGUGCUCCCAUUAUCAGCAACCCUUUUGAGAAGACUAGACUAGAAUAAAGUAAGCUUAU